GGACGCACCGACAGACAGACAGACACACCGACCGAGGCGGCGGGGGGCGGCAGGCCGGGCACCACCGCCCCCCCUGCAUGGUUGCCAAAAUGAUCAUCGAAAACUUCGAGGCGCUCAAGUCCUGGCUCAGCAAGACCCUCGAGCCCAUCUGUGAUGCAGAUCCAUCAGCCCUAGCUAAAUAUGUUCUUGCUUUGGUAAAGAAGGAUAAAAGUGAAAAAGAACUGAAGGCAUUGUGCAUUGAUCAACUGGAUGUAUUUCUUCAGAAGGAGACCCAGAUAUUUGUAGAAAAACUCUUUGAUGCUGUGAAUACGAAAAGCUAUUUACCUUCACCAGAGCAGCCAUCCUCAGGAAGCUUAAAGGUAGAAUUUUUUCAACACCAAGAAAAAGAUUUAAAAAAAGAAGAGAUCACAAAGGAAGAGGAACGAGAGAAGAAGUUUUCUAGAAGGUUAAAUCAUAGUCCUCCACCAUCAAGCUCCCGGUACAGAGAAAAUAGGAGCCGUGAUGAAAGGAAAAAAGAUGAGCGUUCUCGCAAGAGAGACUACGACCGCAACCCUCCCAGAAGAGAUUCCUAUAGAGAUCGGUACAACAGGCGACGGGGACGGAGUCGGAGUUACAGCAGGAGUCGAAGUCGAAGUUGGAGUAAAGAAAGAUUGCGAGACAGGGAUAGAGACAGGAGCAGGAGCAGAAGCAGAAGCAGAACGCGGAGCAGGGAAAGAGAUCUGGGAAAGCCAAAAUACGACCUGGACCGAGCAGACCCAUUAGAGAACAACUAUCCUCCAGUUUCUUCCGUAACAAACAUUUCAUCCGGCCAUUACCCCGUUCCAACCUUGAGUAGCACUAUCACUGUCAUCGCUCCUACUCAUCACGGAAACAACACUACUGAAAGCUGGUCCGAAUUUCACGAAGACCAGGUGGACCAUAAUGCUUACGCAAGGCCACCUAUGCCAAAGAAACGCUGCAGAGACUAUGAUGAAAAGGGUUUCUGUAUGCGAGGAGACAUGUGCCCUUUCGAUCAUGGAAGUGACCCCGUCGUUGUAGAAGAUGUGAAUCUUCCAGGAAUGCUGCCUUUCCCAGCCCAACCCCCUGUCGUUGAAGGACCCCCUCCUCCGGGACUCCCCCCUCCUCCUCCUAUUCUGACGCCUCCGCCUGUGAAUCUUCGACCACCAGUACCCCCUCCAGGACCACUGCCACCAAGCCUUCCACCCGUCACAGAUACAUGCCCAAGUAGUACGAGGUGGCGAAUGGAAGGAAAUAUGCAUAUGCCCCAAACAGGACCACCUCCCCCACUGCCACCAUUGCAACCAGCCGGCAUGGAUGCUCCUCCAAACUCCGCAACCAGUUCCGUUCCUACUGUGGUAACAACGGGAAUGCACCACCAGCCGCCUCCUGCCCCGCCCUCCCUCUUUACCGCAGUUUUUGUAUUACCAGAUACAUACGACACAGAUGGGUAUAAUCCCGAAGCUCCAAGCAUCACAAACACUUCCAGACCGAUGUAUCGACAUAGAGUGCAUGCCCAAAGGCCCAAUUUGAUAGGUCUUACAUCAGGAGACAUGGAUCUGCCACCCAGAGAAAAACCUCCCAAUAAAAGCAGUAUGAGGAUAGUGGUGGAUUCAGAGUCAAGGAAAAGGACCAUCGGAGCAGGGGAAACUGGAGUUCCUCCAAAGAAGACUUGGUUUGACAAGCCAAACUUCAACAGAACAAACAGCCCGGGUUUUCAGAAGAAAGUUCAGUUUGGAAAUGAAAACACCAAGCUCGAACUGAGGAAGAUUCCUCCAGAAUUAAAUAAUAUCAGCAAACUUAAUGAGCACUUCAGCAGGUUUGGAACGUUGGUCAACUUACAGGUUGCCUACCAUGGGGAUCCCGAAGGUGCCCUUAUCCAGUUCGCAACUUAUGAAGAAGCAAAGAAAGCAAUAUCAAGUACAGAAGCAGUAUUAAACAACCGUUUCAUUAAAGUCUAUUGGCACCGAGAAGGCGUCACUCAGCAGCUUCCGACUACCACCCAGAAAGUAAUUCAGCCUUUGGUCCAGCAACCCAGUUUACCUGUUGUGAAACAGUCUGUGAAAGAGAGGUUAGGCCCUGUACCUACAAGUAACAUUGAACCCGCAGAAGCUCAGAGUGCCAGUACAGAUGUUCCUCAGAGUGUAACUAAACUGUCUGUGAAGGACAGGUUGGGUUUUGUAGCAAAGCCAUCUCUUUCAGCAACUGAAAAGGUGCUCUCCACUUCUACUGGCCUAACCAAAACUGUGUAUAAUCCGGCUGCUUUAAAGGCUGCACAGAAAUCCUUGCCGACGGUUUCCACCUCUGCAUUAGACAACAGUGAAGCACAGAAAAAAAAACAGGAAGCACUAAAACUUCAACAAGAUGUGAGAAAAAAGAAGCAAGAGAUUUUAGAAAAGCACAUUGAAACUCAGAAGAUGUUAAUUUCAAAGCUGGAGAAGAACAAAACUAUGAAGUCAGAAGAUAAAGCUGAAAUCAUGAAAACUUUGGAGGCUUUGACAAAUAGCAUCACUAAGUUAAAAGAUGAAUUGAAAGCUGUUUCUCCUGGAGGUUCUCUUCCCAAAAGUGUGAAAACCAAAACUCAGAUGCAGAAAGAAUUACUGGAUACAGAGCUGGAUUUGUAUAAGAAGAUGCAGGCUGGAGAAGAAGUCACCGAACUUAGAAGAAAGUACACAGAAUUGCAACUUGAAGCUGCUAAGCGAGGGAUCCUUUCCUCCGGUCGUGGUCGAGGAAUCCACACAAGAGGACGGGGUGCGGUUCGUGGCAGAGGCCGAGGCCGAGGAAGAGGAAGAGGAGUUCCUGGUCAUGCCGUGGUGGAUCAUCGCCCGAGAGCUCUGGAGAUCUCGGCCUUUACAGAAAGUGAUAGAGAGGACCUUCUUCCCCAUUUUGCGCAAUAUGGGGAAAUUGAAGAUUGUCAGAUUGAUGACUCUUCUCUUCAUGCAGUAAUUACAUUCAAGACCAGGGCAGAAGCCGAAGCUGCUGCAAUUCAUGGAGCACGUUUCAAAGGCCAAGAUCUGAAACUGGCAUGGAAUAAACCAAUGACCAUCAUGUCCGCUGUUGAAUCGGAAGAUGUUGAACCAGAUGAGGAGGAAUUUCAGGAAGAGUCUUUGGUGGAUGACUCAUUGCUUCAAGACGACGAUGAGGAGGAAGAAGACAAUGAAUCUCGGUCAUGGAGAAGAUGAUUUACCCGAUUAUCGAUUGGCAACUGCUAAGACUCUACCUGUGUCGCAUUAGUAUUACCUAAUGUACUUUUGCAUAUUUGUAAAGACGAUUUUUGGUAAAGUGUGAUGAACAUGAAUUUCAGCAGUAGACUAAAAGAAAAGCAACCCUCUGAUCUUGUAUUUUGAAAGAUUGAUGUUCGAAUUUUAUUUCAGUAAACAAUCGCUAAGGACAUCACACUAGAAACAUAUGCAAUGUUUUUAUUACAUACUUCUGAGCGUUACCGAAUUCUUUGGGUUCUUUGUAAUUUAAUGAAGAGGUCAGAAAACGAAUGGCCAUUACUUGUUAUAACUUAGAGGAUUUUUUGUUUUAUUCCAAAAUAUGGAAUGAGUUUGCAUUUAAAAUCUUAAUGAAUGUUGCAAAAAAAAAUGAAUAGAUAACAUAGUACUAAACCGAAUUCCCAGAGUUAUGUAUUCAUGAUAUUGCAUAGUAGUAUGCUUAGGCUUUACUAUGUACUAGCCUUUUGUUGGAUUUGUGUACGUAUUUUACAUAGGGGUUUAAUGAUAACGGUGUAUGACUGCUUUGCAUAUGAGUCCUUAUGACUUUAAGAUGUUAAAAAAAUAAAAAAAAAUGGAAUGGUCUUUAAAAAAAACAAAAAAAAAUAACAAAAAAAGACAAUGUUCCUUGAUUUAUAAAAAAAAAAAAGAAAAAAGAAAAAAAGAAAAAAAAAAGAGAAGACCAUUCCAAAUGGUGAUUCCCUUCCUCCCCUACCCCCCACUACUCACAAAAGGAGCUAUAAUCACUAAUUUAUUCAUCCUGGUUACUGGUGUCUUUCAUGUACAAUCUGAUGUUUAGAUGAUAAACCACUUCAGUUUGGUUUGAUCACAAAAGUUCUCAACAGAUGUUUUAAAAUUUAAAAGCAGGCGGGUUAGUUCGAUAUCAGACUUCAAGUAGAACUAACAUCUGAUGAAUAUGAAAACUAGCAGUUUUCACUUUGGACCUAUGAAAAGAAAAUUUGACGUGUGAAGAUGUAUGAAUUAAAGAAAUAUACAGUAAAAUAGUACCUUAGGAAAACUGUGCUUGGUCCCGCUGGUUCAUUUUUCUUUAGCUUUGCCUUUUUUGAAUCUUCCCCAUAUUUACGUCAACUGAGAGAUAAGAGCGGCAAUGAAAGGCGUUGGAUGGACAGGGGUGUCAAAUUGGCAGUUUUGGAAGCUGACGUUCCUUCUCUUCACCAGUGUGGUACUACGGUGACAGCAGAAUCUUGCUUGGUCUGAGGCCAGCCGAAUCUCUGGGGUGAUGAAGAUUUGGGCUACUUUGGUCAAGAAGUUCUUGCUAGUGACUUUUUUUUUCCUUUUUUUGGUGGCUCCAUGUGAAGGUGCUCUCUUGGCAUUGCACUAAGGAAAACCCCCGUACUGUGUUCAGAAAACCGAUGAGGCGACCUGAAAAUCAUCACCAUCUCUACAGUAGAUGAGUGCCUACCAUGCUAGUUGCUUGAGUAGCAUACAAAAAAUAACCCAGUCCCCACCCUCAAGGAUCUUAGCAUCUACUGGAUGAUACAGUUGACUUAAAAUGAUGGAUGUACCAAGAGAAUAGGUAGAAACAGUAGGCUUAAGUGAAUGAAUAAGUAAUAAAUCUCAAGGUAAAUGAAGUCGAGAUUUGCCUUGUCCUUGAAAGUGUGGGCAUUAUUAGGAAAUUUAUUAUCUACAACUCCAGGGUUUUGUUUUUGGUUUUUUUUUUUAAAAUCUGUUCAACUAUGUGAUCAAUUGAUUUUUGUUGUUUUUUCACCAUUCUUAUUGCUGGGUUUCUGAAGAAGCACUUUGUGUAUAUUCUAUUUUUCAACACUCUGAGCAUGGUGGAUGCAGGAUCCACCAAAUUUUACACUGUAACAGAUGGCAGAGAUUAUUUCAUCACUGUUUCUUUGGCUGCGAUUAUUAAACUUAGCCAGUGCUUUUAUAUAAAAAAAUGAAUAAUUUAAAUUACUCAUGUGGGUAAAAUGUUUUUAAAAAAUGCUGUUAAAACUACCAUUUUCCACCUAAACUUAACAAAUAUUAUUAAAAUGCACUCACUAUUGUGCAUUUCAUCAAUAAGUACAAAAUUAUUUUCCUUUUCGUGGCAACUUUAAGCUUUUCUUCUGCUUGUCCUAAUCUUUGCCCUCCAAGCCUUCUUUUGCAGUGAGCCUUGGAACUUUAAUUUGAUAAGUUGAUGUGCGUGUUUUUUGCCUUUCUUUCCAAGUAUGUUGAUUACCAGAAUUUGUUUUUGACCUCUAGUAUACUUGCAUCUACCAAAAUGGACCACUUUCAUAUUUCAUUUUCAUUUCAAUUCACCGAUUCCCCAUUUUCCUUAAAUGAGAGUCUCUGACAAUUCCCCCGGUUGUGACCCGGGGUUUUAUUAUUAUUUUUAAAAACCCAAAAUUUCUAGUUUCCUCUUUCCACUUUGGUUAAAUCAUGUCUUUCGACUGCAUCAGGCCUAUCCUGUUGUUGGUUUAGAAACUCUGUCAAGACAUACAGUCUACCUAUGCCUUUCUGGAAAAUGUUACAGCAUUAUGUUACAGUUCCAAGAAUGCAUUCAUUUUGCCCUCUGUAAGGAAAAGGAUAAAACUGUUGUAACAGAUAGAAUCAUGUAAAGCUAUCCCGGAGUUUUGACUUUUACUCUUUAUAUCGUCUCAUCCUCAAAGAGAUAUCCAGUGCCACAGGGACUGCGUCCUAUCUGCACAUGCUGUAUCUUUCCCAGCACUUAGCUUGGUGAUUAGUAAACGGUUACCGAAUGCCACAGUUAUUUUUUUUUCUGAAUUAUUAGUGUAAUCCCAUCGGAUAGCAAAUCACUGUAAUUCAGAUUCCCAUAAUCAAAUUCCGUUCCUUCUGUUGAACAUAUUCAGAUUGUGUUCUAAGGUAUUGAUCAGUGGAGAUUAAAAUAGAAAAAGGACUUCGUGUAUGCCAUACUCCUGUUAAUAUAUCCUAGAAUCAUGCUGAAUUUUUAAGUAACACUGUUUGCUAAAUCUUACUCAUCUUUCAGUCCACUAUAACCCUCAAGCAAAUUCACUUGCACCCUUGCCUAAUCAUUUUUCCCUAUCGUGUUUUUCUCUUUUUUUCCCUAAGUUUUCCACCACAUACAUGUACAUUUUCCUUGUGUUUUUUUCAUGGUAUAUAUCAAGGGCCUGCUCUGUGCCCUGCACUGUUCUAUUUCUCUCAUUCAUCUAAGUAGCUUCUACUUGUAUACCUGAUGUCCAUGCUUUAAAUAAGCCCUACUGAAUGUGGGGCCAUUUCCCACCCUGAAAGUACUCUUCCAAACACCCACAGUUUACCCUGCACCUCCCAUUUAUGUGUCUCACAAAGGAGUAUAAAUCUAGGAGACCAUCUAUCACGGUCUUGCAAAUUGUAUAGCUUGAUCCAUCUAAGCGGAGAGUGUGAUUUGUGGUUCCGUUUGUAGGUCACAACUGCUUGUUUCAGACAGGCUCCAAACCCACUUAAUUACAGUUGUGAUGCUCUCUAAGGCAUGCUUUUAUUUUAUUAGAGUCCCAGUCACCCACAUUUGCAAUUCAGCAAGUACUUUGCAUGGAGCACAUUAUGCAUUUCCUCAUAGUUCAAAUAUAGACCUUGGUCAAAUUAAUGCCACGCUGUUUAUCUCUUUGAAGAAAUGAUUCUCUACCCUUAUGGAGACGCUUUGACAGACGGGUAGUGUAGAAGGCUAAAGACCUGUAGAGAUAAUUUUGCCAAGAAAAGUGACUUGUCAGUAGUGAUUUCUGAGAUUAAAGACGUAUAUUCCAGCCACUCUUGCAGACCACAGCAUAGAGAGGCAAUCACAAUUAGGAAAGAAGGAUUUGAGAUGGUAGCAUUCUACCCGGAUUUCUAUUAGGGAAAAAGUAAUGCAUUUCAAAAUUUUAAAGUAUGAUUUCUCAGUAAUAAGAGUUGAUCAUUGAUACUCUGUAGAUCCAUGCUUUGCUGGCAGCAGUUGAAUUGAAUUCCUGUAGUUGAUAAGUAACACAGUUUAUUAAAGAUGAAGAUUUAUAUUGAUCAGUUUCCUUGAACAGGGGUCUCAUAAAUCUUUCAGUAGAUAAUCACUUGGAACCACAUUUUCUUAAUUGAACACACUGAUACAUUUCUAUGUUAAGUCAUGGAAGUCUUCUCUGGUUUUUUUUUUUUUAACCUUUGAAUUUGUGGAAGUAUUUUCUGUAUUGCAGUGUUUUGUUAGUGGCGUCAUCAUUCUGUAUCAGUUUACAUUUGAAAUUCAAUUCUGGGGAAAAAAUGAUUCUCAAAAUCUAAAUCUGAACAAACACCCCACCCACAAUUUAGCAUAUCCACUUUUCCUGAAGCAUGGCGGGCGGUGGGGGGAGUGUAACAUCUGUGCAAAACCUUGUAUUAAAGACAAGUUGCAUUGUAGUUUUCACCCAUUCUGAUGCUACAUGCAUACACAAAUUCUUUCGUCUAACACCACAGCAGACUAUAAUCAUACAGGUGUCUGAUUUUUGAAUCAGCAUUCCAUUAUUCUCCACCAACAUUCUAGCCAAAGCACAUAGUGAAAACCUAUAUUAUGGCCGAACUGAGCAUUCCCCUUUGUCGCUUGUUUAUAGAAUAUGCAGUUCUCUCCAGAGAGCUGCAAAUUCUGAAUGUUAUCCCAAAAAUGAGGCAGCAAGGACAUGUUGGUAAAUAUUUUUUUGGUGCAACAGAGUCCUUCCUUAGAGAAAAUACUUCAGUAACAUUUAUUCAGCUCAUACUGUGUGCAGAGCUAGAGAGGAAGGCAUCCCGAGGCAGGCAAUCUUGUGAUGUUUUGCUUUAUUUAAAAAAAAAUGUGAUCUGUCAGUCUGUAGGAUUUAUCCAGUGUGUUCUGGGUGCACAACACUGUACUGUGUGCUUGGGAAAGGUCAGUGAAGGUAAAAGACAUGGUCCUUACCCACAAGAAAUGUACACUCUUAGCAGUUAACACAGGCAGAUGCAAAUUGUGUACUCUUGGUAUUGGAAGAAAAAGGGAUGCAGCUGACUAGCUAGACUUGUAGCUAGAGUAAGGUAACAUGGAUCUGUAAAUGGAUUCGGUAGUUUCAUGUCAUUCAAUCUACGUACUCAUCACCCCCCCACAAACACACACACACACACCUAACACCCCAAACACACCUGUGUAAACAAAAAGGUGGUUAAGGUGGAUGUUGGGAUGGCAAUUUCCAUUCUUUUUGACCCACAAUUUUAAGAGUCCAUUUCCCUUGUAAUCUACUAUUUCCCUCCUAUGCCACUGAAACUUGAGUCUAUUGAGUCUUGUGGAGAAUGAGUAUAAGAUGUUUCCCUAAAGGAAUGCAUCCCAGGGGUUUUGUCUCAACUGUAGAACUAAUUAACAGACAACUUCAGCUCAUUUUCAGUCAAUGAGUUCUCCCUCUUACUCCUUUAGCUGUACUUGCGAAUUGCAUAUUCCCUCUUUACAGGUUUUAAUGCAAGUUAUCUGCCUAAAACUGUCUGAAUAAUAGUCUUCUCCCUCAAUUAGGUAGACCUUUUCUAUAUUUGACUUCUGUAGAUGGUAAGCUCCUCGUCGAUGGGGAUCAUAUAUACCAACUCCAUUGGAUUGUACUUUCCCAAAUGUUUAGUACAGUGUUCUGCACACAGUAAACACCCAAUAAAUACAAUUGAUUGAUCGGAUUCGAUGCGUUGGGCACCUGGCAUUCCCCAAACAUUCCAGGCAAAUAUUCCUAGAACAUGCUUUAGGAUUUAGGUUGGGUCAAUGUACCAUUUUUUGCACAUGGGAAAGAUGGAGCAGGGCAAAGAUGAUUGUGUGGACCAAAUUCUUGACACUGAAUCGUAUCCUAAAAAAGGGGGAUGUUUAUUGCUUGAGUUUACCAUUGUCUGAUCUUCCUGUUUUUAAGUAAAAGACCCAUUGCCAAUCCUGUCCGUAUUCCAAAUCAAAUAAUAUAAUUCCAUUAAACACACAGUUCUGCCAUAAAGAGUUUUUUCAGAAUGAGUUUUGGCUAGCCUAGGAUGACAGUAUUAGGGAGAGUUCUUAUGACUGUGCACCUCCACUGGUGCAUGAAUUCAUUGAUGUGAGGUUUCAUUAAGAAAUCUGCCAUGUUAUAGAAUGGGGUUUGGUAUUUAAAUUGUUGUGAACAUUCUUGUGGAGUAGUACAAAUAGUAUUUAUUUGUUCCAAGUGAUGUCUUUCACCCAGUAGUAAUCAUUGUCAGUUCUGGAUUUUGGUUUGAAAAAAUAAGAUGUACAGAGGCCUACUUUAUGCCUAGAGUGAAUACUACAUAGACUCUUUUUAGAAAAAUAAUUAUUUAUCCAACACUUGGCAAAAAUGUAAAAAAUCUAUUUGUUUAAGAAGCAUUCUUGGAUUUUUAAUGCAGAUGCUCAGAAUCCUGAGCCAUUACUGUCUUUUAAAAUAAUUUGUAACCUAAGCCUUUUUUUUAAAUAGUUUAUUCACUCUGUGAGGAUAAUUGAAUUUGACCCCACCAAAGGGAACCCUGAACUGGAUUUUCCCAGUUUCGUACCUUUGCUCUUAAAUCUCCAAUUUUAAGAUUGUGCUGACCUGGGAAUAUAGUUCCUGUUCUUGGAGUAAAGAGAGUGAAAUGGGGGUGAGCUGUAGCAGCUUUUUGUGGCCAGUGUUUUGUUUUUUUUAAACUUGAAUUGGAAUGCUCGAAACUUGAACCUCUCAUUUCGUAUGCUUGAAAUGUUUAUUUUUUCGAAUUUAAGUUUGUGUGAGUUGUGUCAAUGUUUUUGUUAUUUAAAGCAGAAUUGUCUUGCUUGUUGAAUGUCCACAAUGUUCAAUAUUUUUAUACUUUCAGAAAUUUUUUAAAAUAAAAUGAACCAUCCUGAAAAUCA